rnacentral:lncRNA from 10 species
GUCCCAGCGCGCGUGCGCCCCUGAAGGCGGGUUCCGGUGGCAGCGCCGGGGUCUCAGACCCUGAGGAGACUGAGCCCAGCGCCAGGCGACCGGUCCCCGCCGCCGCCGCCCCUGCGCGGGAGAUCCCCCCUGCUUAGUCCGCGCCCGAGCCCCCGUCCGUGGGAACAGACAAGGGGCCUCCGCAGCGCCUCACAACCCCCGACCAGGUCCAGCGGCGGGGGACUCGGCCGUGGAGGGCGCUGUUCGGUCUGGAUGGCUCCCCCCAUCAGCGGGAGGCUACACCCCCCACCAGCAGGGGCAAGAGGAGCAGCGGGAUGGGAGCAGGCCAACGUCCUGCGGCCUGGUUGAGCUCGCACUGACAAUCGCAGCUCAGGCGCUCAGGACUGCCAGGACCCAGAGGAUUCACACGCCAGCCCCGGCUGAAGCCCAGCUCCUCAUCAACCGGUGAGCCGCCUGCCAGCUCCUGCUCCAGCUGCUGAGAGGCCUGAAGAGACCAAGACAGAGACACAGCCCCGCAGCACCACAGGGAGGCCCCAGUUACCCCAUGCGGAUGAGUUUCAUGGCCAUCUCUAACUAAGGACAGGACAUCGAUGUCAUCUGUAACUUCCGGUGCACUGGGGCACACAGCUGCAUCUCCCCAUGCUCACCUCCUGCCUCUUGCUCUGCCCAGUGCUGGAGUGCAGUGGCACGAUCUCGGCUCACUGCAACCUCUGCCUCCAGGAUUCAACUGAUUCUCCUGCCUCAGCCUCUCCAGUAGCUGGGAUUACAGGCUUGCACCA